rnacentral:rRNA from 1 species
ACUCCUACGGGAGGCAGCAGUAAGGAAUAUUGGUCAAUGGACGAAAGUCUGAACCAGCCAUGCCGCGUGGAGGAUGAAGGUCCUCUGGAUUGUAAACUUCUUUUAUCUGGGACGAAAAAAGGUCUUUCUAGAUCGUCUGACGGUACCAGAUGAAUAAGCACCGGCUAACUCCGUG